UGCUCUUAGCCCAGCCCCGGCAGGGCAGGCUCGCUUUUCAUCAACCUCAUUUCAGAAUCGCCCCGUUCAUUGAUACUCAUCAUCCAACCCCAGCAGACAUCCCAUCCCCUGCUCGGCCUCCCCCUAUCUGGCUGCCUAUCUGGACAAAGGAUGUGUCCUGUCAGUAAGAGAAAGGAGGCAGUCAUCUCAGAAGCCUGAUCCAAACCUACUUUCUACCUACUCAGAAGCUGCUGCUUAAUUGGGUGGACCAUGUACCUGUGAUCCCAGAACUCUGGAGGUUGAGGCAGGAGGUAGCACCAGCUUGAGCUACAUCCUGAGUUUGAGAUCUGUCUGGUUAUAAAGAGAAACCACGUCUGAAAUGAACGAAGAGGGCUGGAGCGAUGACUCUGGGUUACGAGAGUUCAAUUCUCAGCACUUGCAUGGCAGUUCACAACUGGUUACCCCAGCUCCAGGAGAUCUGACGCCCACUUCUGCUGCACAUCCAUGGGGGGCGGGGGGUAGGGAUAACAUAAAUUUUGAAAAGUAAAAACUGAAUGGAAGGAAAGAAUACAUGAGGGUCACUCCAGAUUCCCCACCCCACCAGUUUCACUCCCUGGAUUACCUUUGCCAUUGGUGGUAAUUCUUCUAUUGCUUUGAAAGGGAAGGCAGAAGCACCACGCAGCAUGGAAUGACAGAGCUCAGGUUCUAUGGCUGACUUCCUGAGUUCAAAGCCCAGUGUCACCAUUUCAAAGCUGUAUGACCUUCAGCAAGCUAACUUCGCAUCUGAGAAUGGAGCUCCCACAUCAUCAACACAUUUGGAGGACAAGUUGAGUCAGUACUUAGCAUGCACCUUGUGCAGUUUCCACUUGAUAUUCGCAUUAAUGACAGAUAUGUUCUACAUUCCUUUUUUCCACCAUUAAAUAGGAUUGGUAGUGCCCCAUA